AACGAACGCUGGCGGCAGGCCUAACACAUGCAAGUCGAACGCUCCGCAAGGAGAGUGGCAGACGGGUGAGUAACACGUGGGAAUCUUCCUAUUGGUUCGGAAUAGCUCAGGGAAACUUGGGGUAAUACCGGAUAAGCCCGAAAGGGGAAAGAUUUAUCGCCGAUAGAUGAGCCCGCGUCUGAUUAGCUAGUUGGUGAGGUAAUGGCUCACCAAGGCGACGAUCAGUAGCUGGUCUGAGAGGAUGACCAGCCACACUGGGACUGAGACACGGCCCAGACUCCUACGGGAGGCAGCAGUGGGGAAUAUUGGACAAUGGGCGCAAGCCUGAUCCAGCCAUGCCGCGUGAGUGACGAAGGUCUUCGGAUUGUAAAGCUCUUUUGCCAGGGACGAUAAUGACGGUACCUGGAGAAUAAGCCCCGGCUAACUCCGUGCCAGCCGCCGCAGUAACAC
rnacentral:rRNA from 1 species